rnacentral:rRNA from 1 species
AGUGAACGCUGGCGGUAGGCCUAACACAUGCAAGUCGAACGGCAGCACAGUAAGAGCUUGCUCUUACGGGUGGCGAGUGGCGGACGGGUGAGGAAUACAUCGGAAUCUACUUUUUCGUGGGGGAUAACGUAGGGAAACUUACGCUAAUACCGCAUACGACCUACGGGUGAAAGCAGGGGAUCUUCGGACCUUGCGCGACUGAAUGAGCCGAUGUCGGAUUAGCUAGUUGGCGGGGUAAAGGCCCACCAAGGCGACGAUCCGUAGCUGGUCUGAGAGGAUGAUCAGCCACACUGGAACUGAGACACGGUCCAGACUCCUACGGGAGGCAGCAGUGGGGAAUAUUGGACAAUGGGCGCAAGCCUGAUCCAGCCACACCGCGUGGGUGAAGAAGGCCUUCGGGUUGUAAAGCCCUUUUGUUGGGAAAGAAAAGCAGCAGGUUAAUACCCCGCUGUUCUGACGGUACCCAAAGAAUAAGCACCGGCUAACUUCGUG